AUUGAACGCUGGCGGCAGGCCUAACACAUGCAAGUCGAACGGUAACAGGAAGAAGCUUGCUUCUUUGCUGACGAGUGGCGGACGGGUGAGUAAUGUCUGGGAAACUGCCUGAUGGAGGGGGAUAACUACUGGAAACGGUAGCUAAUACCGCAUAAGGUCGCAAGACCAAAGAGGGGGACUUUCGGGCCUCUUGCCAUCGGAUGUGCCCAGAUGGGAUUAGCUAGUAGGUGGGGUAACGGCUCACCUAGGCGACGAUCCCUAGCUGGUCUGAGAGGAUGACCAGCCACACUGGAACUGAGACACGGUCCAGACUCCUACGGGAGGCAGCAGUGGGGAAUAUUGCACAAUGGGCGCAAGCCUGAUGCAGCCACGCCGCGUGUAUGAAGAAGGCCUUCGGGUUGUAAAGUACUUUCAGCGGGGAGGAAGGGAGUAAAGUUAAUACCUUUGCUCAUUGACGUUACCCGCAGAAGAAGCACCGGCUAACUCCGUG
rnacentral:rRNA from 1 species